AAAGAUUAAUUAGUAAUUGAAUUUUGUGUCUGUUAAUGAGCGACUGUCUUCAGGUAAAUGAUCUGGAGUGUGUUUGCAUAUUGAUCAGAUGCUUCAGUGCUCUGAGAGUGUUUAUAGUGCUGUGAGUUUAACACUUCAUCACUGACACACACAACAAUCUUCAUCAACAUGACCUUCAUCAUCAUCUUCAUCUGGACUCUCACAGCGUUUGCUCAAGAGUGUAGAGGACAGAUCACCGUCACUCAGAGUCCCUCAACGACAGCAGCUCGACCAGAAGAAACAGUCAAAAUCAACUGUAAAACCAGCACAGAUGUGUAUUACAACAGUUAUUGGGGACAUUAUUUAGCUUGGUACUUACAGAAACCUGGAGAAGCUCCUAAACUCCUGAUUUAUUUAGCAGACACCCUUGAGUCAGGAACUCCAUCUAGAUUCAGUGGCAGUGGAUCUAACAGUGAUUUCACUCUGACCAUCAGUGGAGUCCAGACUGAAGAUGCUGGACAUUAUUACUGUCAGAGUUUUCAUUGCAGAACAAGUGGUAGUUCUUGUGUGGGUGAUUAUGUGUUCACACAGUGAUAAAGAGUCGUACAAAAACCUCGGUCAGUCAGAGUCACAGAGACUGAACUGAUCCUGCAGCUGCUCAAACACUAUCACUCACUACUGACACACAGAGACAA